CUCCGGGAUCACAUGGGCGGAGGCAGGUCCUGGAGCCCCGGGCGGGCUCUCCCCAGAGUCGGGCAGACGGCGGCAGCGGCGGCAGCGGGAGCGGCGGUGUCUCCACACCUUCCCUCCUUCCCCUCCCUUCCCUACCGGGCCUGGCCUCCCAGCCCGACGAGUGAGAGCGAGCCAGAUAUGGCCCUAACAGUGGAUGUGGUGGGGCCAGGGCCCUGGGGCUUCCGGAUCACUGGGGGCAGGGAUUUCCACACGCCUAUCAUGGUGACCAAGGUAACUGAGAGGAGCAAGGCUGAGGCUGCUGACCUCCGGCCUGGAGACAUUAUUGUGGCCAUCAACGGGGAGAGUGCUGAGGGUAUGCUUCAUGCUGAGGCCCAGAGCAAGAUCCGCCAGAGUCCCUCACCCCUGAGGCUGCAGCUAGACCGGUCUCGGGCUGCUUCCCCCCAGCAGACCAAUGGGGAAAGCUCUGUGGAAGGGCUGGCGACUCGCUUCCAGGGCUCCGUGAGGACGCACACUGACAGCCAGUCCUCCCUGAGGUCUUCCUGCUCCAGCCCAGUCUUUUCCAGCCCCCAGCCCGGCAGCCCGUUCUCUGCCCUGCCCCCCACCAGCCCGCAGGCCCUCCCUGGAGAGACUGUUGUCAGCCGCAGUUUCCAGAGCCUGGCACAUUCCCCGGGAUUGGCUGCUGCUGACCGCUUUUCCUACGGGGGCCACCCCAGAAGUCGACCGGCCAGCCUCACCCGCGCCGCGGCUGGUGACUCGGCUGUGCUGGUGCUGCCGCCUUCCCCGGGUCCCCACUCCUCCAGUCCCAGACUCAGAAUGCCUUCCCUUGGACACUCUUUCCCUGCCUUCUUGCUGGUCCUCAUACCCGGGAAGGAACCCUCACUCCUGGCCGCUCCUGUCCCUGCAGUGUGGACUCAGAGGGGGGAAGCCGCCUUCUGGAGGAGGAUUCAGAAGUCUACAAGAUGCUGCAGGAAAAUCGUGAGGGGCGGGUGGCCCCCCGACAGUCCAGCUCCUUUCGGCUCUUGCAGGAGGCUCUGGAGGCUGAAGAGAGAGGUGGCACACCUGCCUUCCUGCCCAGCUCGCUGAGCCCCCAGUCCUCCCUGCCCACCUCCAGGGCCCUGGCCACCCCGCCCAAGCUCCACACGUGUGAGAAGUGCAGCACCAGCAUUGUGAACCAGGCUGUGCGCAUCCAGGAGGGGCGGUACCGCCACCCAGGCUGCUACACCUGUGCGGACUGUGGGCUGAACCUGAAGAUGCGUGGGCACUUUUGGGUCGGAGACGAGCUGUACUGCGAGAAGCAUGCCCGUCAGCGCUACUCCUCGCCCCCCGCCCUCAGCUCCCGUGCCUGAGUACCCGGCUAGGUUCUCAACCUGCCCUAGACCGCGUAGGCACCUGUGCACCAAUAGCAAGCUGGCAUGGAAGGGUGGUGGUUGGUGGUGGGGCCCCUGCCUCCAGGCUGGGUGAGGCUAGAGCCUGCGACCUGUGAUGGGCUGUGGAUGAGGACAGCCUCACCAUCCCAGGCCUCUGCUAGAUACUCACUUCCUCCUGUAGAACAGGCUGUGCACCAAAGUGUGAGGUGGGCACUGCAUUGGAUAUCUUUGUGCAACAGGGAUUAAGCAGGUUGGGAUACAGAGAUAAAUAUGUAGAAAGAGAGGGAUAGGUCAGAGGUUAAAGGUAUUCACUCUGUAAAGUUUUCAGCAUAUGAACUCUAUAAAUAUACAUAUAUGGAUGAAACAAA